GAGAAACUCCCAUCAGAUCAGUUUCAACAACAUGUUCUCUGUAGCUCUGCUGCUGCUGGCUGCUGGAUCCUGUGUGAGGUGUGAACAGCUAACACAGCCAGCUUCUGUUACUCUACAGCCAAGUCAAAGUCUGACCAUCAGAUGUCAGGUCUCGUAUUCUCUCAGCAGCUAUGCAACAGCUUGGAUCAGACAGCCUGCUGGGAAAGGACUGGAGUGGAUUGGUAGAAAAGGUGGUGGAUAUUCCACAUACUAUAAAGAUUCACUGAAGAACAAGUUCAGUAUUGAUGUUGACACUUCCAGUAAAACAGUGACUCUGAAUGGACAGAAUCUGCAGCCUGAAGACUCUGCUGUGUAUUACUGUGCCAGAGAGCCACAGUGA